rnacentral:rRNA from 1 species
GACGAACGCUGGCGGCGUGCUUAACACAUGCCAGUCGAACGCUGAAGCUCAGCUUUUGUUGGGUGGAUGAGUGGCGAACGGGUGAGUAACACGUGAGUAACCUGCCCCCUUCUUUGGGAUAACGCCCGGAAACGGGUGCUAAUACUGGAUAUUCACUGGUCUUCGCAUGGGGGUUGGUGGAAAGGGUUUUUCUGGUGGGGGAUGGGCUCGCGGCCUAUCAGCUUGUUGGUGGGGUGAUGGCCUACCAAGGCUUUGACGGGUAGCCGGCCUGAGAGGGUGACCGGUCACAUUGGGACUGAGAUACGGCCCAGACUCCUACGGGAGGCGGCAGUGGGGAAGAUUGCACAAUGGGCGCAAGCCUGAUGCAGCGACGGCGCGUGAGGGAUGGAGGCCUUCGGGUUGUGAACCUCUUUCGCUCAUGGUCAAGCCGCAACAAUGGUUGUGGUGAGGGUAGUGGGUAAAGAAGCGCCGGCUAACUACGUG